GGUCAUGUUUCAGCUCAGCCAUGCAUGUGUAAGUAUAAAUAAUUCUACUUUGAAACUGCGAAUGGCUCAUUAUAUCAGUUAUAGUUUAUUAGAAAAAAUUUACUACUUGGAUAACCGUAGUAAUUCUAGGGCUAAUACAUGAGUAAAUCCUCGACUUUGAAGAGGUGUGUUUAUUAGUAUGAAAACCAUAUGCUUUUGCAUGAUAGUGAGUAAUAAUAACCUUUCAUAUCGUAUGUUGAAAUAACGAUAGUUCUUUCAAGUUUCUGCCCUAUCAGCUUUCGAUGGUAGUGCAUUGGACUACCAUGGCAGUAACGGGUAACGAAGAAUUUGGGUUCGAUUUCGGAGAGGGAGCCUGAGAGAUGGCUACCACAUCCAAGGAAGGCAGCAGGCGCGUAAAUUACCCAAUCCUGACAUAGGGAGGUAGUGACAAUAAAUCACAAUGCGGGACUUUUAGUUUUGCAAUUGGAUUGAGAACAAUGUAAAAGAGUUAUCGAUAAACAAUUGGAGGGCAAGUCUGGUGCCAGCAGCCGCGGUAAUUCCAGCUCCAAUAGCGUAUAUUAACGUUGUUGAGUAAAAAAAAGGUCACAAA
rnacentral:rRNA from 1 species